UGCUUUGGGUCGGCAGGAAUGGGACAC
rnacentral:piRNA from 1 species